rfam:Veillonella sp. CAG:933 genomic scaffold, scf180
UUUACCUUUUAAGUUAGUCCUGUGAGGCUAGUAAAGGAUAUGGUAGGCACCUGUAUAUUGCUAUAGGUGUAUCACUAAGUCUGCUAUAGACCUUUUGCCACAGGCAAAGGGUCUUUUUUUG